rnacentral:rRNA from 1 species
GGGGGGAGCAAGCGUUGUUCGGAAUUACUGGGCGUAAAGGGUGUCUAGGCGGCCUUGUAAGUCGGGGGUGAAAUCCCCCGGCUUAACCUGGGAACUGCGUCUGAUACUGGGAGGCUUGAGUUUGGGAGAGGGAUGUAGAAUUCCUAGUGUAGGAGUGAAAUCCGUAGAUAUUAGGAGGAACACCGGUGGCGAAGGCGGCUGCCUGGACCGAUAUUGACGCUGAGACGCGAAGGCGUGGGUAGCAAACAGGAUCAGAUACCCUGGUAGUCCACGCCGUAAACGAUGAGGACUAGGUGUUGCGGGUAUUGACCCCUGCAGUGCCGUAGCUAACGCAUUAAGUUCUCCGCCUGGGAAGUACGGUCGCAAGACUA